rnacentral:rRNA from 1 species
CGUGUAGGCGGCUUGGUAAGUCGGAUGUGAAAGUCCCGGGCUCAACCCGGGAAGUGCAUUCGAAACUACUAGGCUUGAGUAGGAGAGAGGAAAGUGGAAUUCCUGGUGUAGAGGUGAAAUUCGUAGAUAUCAGGAGGAACACCGGUGGCGAAGGCGACUUUCUGGCUCUAUACUGACGCUGAGACGCGAAAGCGUGGGUAGCAAACAGGAUUAGAUACCCUGGUAGUCC